AUACGGAGGGUGCAAGCGUUGUUCGGAAUCACUGGGCGUAAAGGGCGCGCAGGCGGUUUGGUAAGUCAGAUGUGAAAGCCCACGGCUCAACCGUGGAAGUGCAUUUGAAACUGCCAGACUUGAGUACCAGAGGGGAAAGUGGAAUUCCCGGUGUAUAGGUGAAAUUCGUUGAUAUCGGGAGGAAUACCGGUGGCGAAGGCGACUUUCUGGCUGGAUACUGACGCUGAGGCGCGAAAGCGUGGGGAGCAAACAGGAUUAGAAACCCUAGUAGUCC
rnacentral:rRNA from 1 species